ACCCUUGCUCAACUUGUUGUUAUUCUCCCUGAGCGAUGGCGUCCAAAAAGCCUGAUAAAACCUAUGAAGAAAUGGUCAAGGAAGUAGAAAGGCUUAAACUGGAGAAUAAAACACUUAAACAAAAGGUUAAGUCUUCAGGCGCUGUCUCAUCAGAUGAUAGCAUCUUGACAGCUGCCAAGAGAGAAAGUAUCAUUGUCUCUUCAUCCAGAGCACUAGGAGCAGUGGCUAUGAGAAAAAUCGAGGCUAAAGUCAGAUCCCGGGCGGCCAAAGCUGUUACAGAGCAGGAACUAACCUCUCUUCUCCAAUCGCUGACCCUGAGAGUUGACGUGUCUAUGGAGGAAACUACUGUGGGUGCCAGCGGAGGGAUUGGCCCAUCCUCUCAAACAGAGACCAAGAAAAGAAGACCCAGGUCCAAAUCAAGACACAGACAUGAUCAUGAAUAAAAAGAAACACUUGAAUCUAUAAUCAAAAUUGUCAGGUGUGAUUAUCUGGAAUUAGUUGUGGUUGAACGGCGCCUGUGUACUCAAAGGAUCCGCCCAUAGCUGAGUUGGGAGUAGGUAUGUAGCUCUGCUCGCUUGUUUCUGGGGAGGUUUGAGGAGAAGGGCUAAAUUCAAACUGGAACUCUUCUGUGGCGGAAGAAGGGCCAGGGCUAAUGGGUGAAAAUGGCCCCAAUGGUUCAUAAGUGGUCUCUGGCCGAGCUCUCGGAGACAGUCCUGAAAAGACCAUGUUGAAAGAAGAAAGCCAUCUUUUUUUAGAGGGGUUUGUCACCGCCUCUGAAAACAUUUGAUACAAACAGGGUUCAGUGGUAUUGUGUAGAGGGUCCAGGUUAAUGAUUUCUUCUGGGUUCUGCAGCAAAUGUGCCAUAUUACCCCUAUGCAACUCCCCCAACCCUGGUUCUGUGGGAGAAGCAAACAGGGGGUCUGGGAUGCAGAACUUUUGUGAGGAUAUGUCUUUACUGUAUAGCGAACCGUGGGGGGCUCGUUUUCUGUUUCCAUCUCCAAUAGUACAGCUGGGUACACAGUCUGGUGGGAUGUUGAUGGCGUGCUGAUAAAUUGGAAUUAAAAUUUUAUUUAAGUCCAUUUGUGGAAAGCAUAUCUUUAUAAAUGCCUCAACUUCUCUGGAUAUGCCACCAGGUGACUUCUUCUCAGAAUUAAAUUCAUCCAACACAUUGCGCCCAAAUGUCAUUAAAUGUCUGCGGCCUGCCCCUAAGCGCCUCCAGGCCGUUGUGCAUUUUCCUCUAACAUCCUUGAGUAUUUCGAACAGACUGCAGGCCAGAGGUUGAGGUAGCUGUACCCCCGAACAUGGGGCAGUCAGAAACAGCCUGUCUGUGGUAUAGACAACUCUUUCAAUGGCAUAUUUGAUCAGGUGGUGAGAUAUGUACCCACAUGGAUGCCUGUUAUGGACUUUGGCAUUAAACCUCACCUUCUGGUUUCUGAACAUUACCCAGACAUUGUAGAAGUUCAGGUCAAAUAUUAACCCAGACAAAGGCCCAUGUUUGAGACUGUCUGACUGCAGACGCCGAAGAGCAAGUUCCAAAUUCUUGACAUACUGCAGAGCAUUCAAACCAUCUUCAGGGUGCUGUAGGAAGCAUAUAAAUAGAUCUACCAGUUGCUGAAAUUCCUCUUUUGUUUCAGCAGAGACUCCAAUCAACUGGCUCAAGUAGACCUGCUUCGAUCCGUGCCAGUCCUAUAAGAACAGAAAACAUGGGGGAUGAAUUUUAUUAUCCUUCUCUGGAAAGCGUGGUCCACACCUUUUGUGUCAUAGAUACUAGGGAACAUAAUAGAGUAAGUGCCUGUUUGUGUAAGCUUCAGGUGCUGUGUAAAAUUUGUCAGACACUGCGCCACAACUUGGAUACAGAGCCAUUUUUGUUGCCCCACUUGAGGGAACUAAUUAUCAGACACCUAACACUAUUGGAGAGGUUGUCCACUACCUCCAAAUUUCAGCGCAUACUCGACUACAUGAAGCUAUCCCUUGAGGCAAAUGAUUCAAACUUGUUACAAGACUUGGCCAUAGGCACUGUCAAUUUACUGGGCUGUCAAAGUCCAGAGAUUUUGUCUAUCCCAUAUGACAAAGAUCAGCCUGUACAUGAAUGGUGUGCAUGUUUCCUGACCUCUGUAGACGAGGAAGCCUUGAGAAAAAUAUCUUCUAUGUUGGACAAUAAACACUUUUCUUAUAUGUACAACUUUAAAACAUUCUUAAAGUAUUCACUAGAGUUAGAAACAGCUGCAGACUUUGAUUUAUCUACUGGACUCAAUGUCCUUGUGUAUUGGGUAAGCGUCUUUAAACUGUUCAGUGUUUGUGUCCAAAGUCAGUUUCUGCUGGACAGCCUUGUGGCAUUUAAUGCCCUUUUUAAAAAUCAUGUAAAAGAGUUAGAAGCGAUUGUGGAAUCUGACACAAACCUGCUCUGCUAUAGCACAUCUGUUGUGUGGGCAAAAUUGUCUAACUUAAACCAUCUGCUCCACAGACUUCAGACUAGUAACAACACUUUAGUUUUUGAUGAAAUACUGAUCUGUCUGCGUGGUUUACAAAUUUAUAUAAAAUGUUUACCUACCUUAUCGGCUGAAGGGGAAUCCGAGUCAGAGGCCAUCGCUGCAGAAAUUCCCUCGUAGUGCAGGAGUUGUAUUUUUGAGUGUAGAUUGAAAAGAGUUGUGCUCUCUCCUCAGCCUUUGAAGGGACAUUUCAUGACUCAUGUAGGAGGAGCUACCAGAUUUCCAUAAAAGUGGGAGGCUAUUAUUUCUUGCAGACUGCAGCACAUUGUGGGAUAAUGUGUUCAAAAAUGGACCUUGAAACCCGUGAAGGUGGUGGUUGCCAGCAGGUUUCAAUUCUCAUGGUCACAUCUGACAGAGAAAAGGAACAGUAUGAGAAAUUUAUGAACAUACUUAAGAAUCUUUCAAAUUGUACUGAUAUAUCUCAGGUCGUGGCAGAUGCUAAAAAAAUCUAUGAUUCCAGGGAAUUUUGUUAUGUGCCUGCCCUUCUCACUCUGUUCAAGAAGUUGCCUUCUGUUCAUAAAUGGCCUGAAAAUGAAAACUGUAAUGAGGUGCUAAGUGCUGCCUUCUUUGUGUGCCAGCUCUUAUUUUUUCAUAACUUCCCAGCCUCACCAGCUUUUACAGUGGAUGAAAUGUUUGCAACAGUGGCUGCUAGAUUGAAGGAUCUGAUAGAAUAUUCAUGUGACUGUGAGAACUGUGAAUUGUUGGCUGAAUCCCUGACAAAUUAUAAGUUUUCCCUGGUACCUAUAAAGAUCAGGCCACACACCGAUACCUGUGUCUCACUGAAAACACUCCAGCGGCUACGGACUGCCAUGUUAGGCAAUCCUGAAACCCUGAGUAUUUGGACCCUUGAUGACCUGGUGGAGGACCCAGUAGUCUUCAAAGGCUAUGAAAGCGCAAUUAGGAGAGAAUUUGCUGAGCAUGUCACAUGUUUGAACAUGUGCUGGGUUGUGAAGAUAAUCUUGGACUGCAUGUCUCAGCCAACAGCUCUGCUUCGGGAUUGUAUUCAGAAGGGUGCAAAGAAUAAUGGACUCCAGCUGGACACUUCGAGUACCUGGACGUGGCCAGCAGCACGUAUUGCUGAAAAGGAAGUCAUAGAACAUACCAUGAGUGUUUGUGUACAGGAUAUGACUAGAAGUCAUGAUCAGGAAUUCUACACAGAGGCCUUUAAGGAAGAUCUCCAUAUAGGAUUAAAGAGACUAGUUGCCAUGGUCCUUGGGCAGAAUCAUAGUUGGUUAGAUGGCUUUCUGACAGACACUAUAGUGACAGGUAAAGCAUAGCCUGGGGCAUAGUUCUUUGAUGAAUCAUCAUAAAUAUGAUGGCUAAUGUGGUCCUUUUGUGUAUUAAUGCAGAUAUGUUUAUGUAUCCAGGUGUGUUGCUUGAAAGGUAUUUUGCUGUACUAACCCAACACCACCUAUUUAUCAUGUUUGGAAGCCUAUUAAAAACUGUGCUAUUGAC
rnacentral:tmRNA from 1 species